rnacentral:rRNA from 1 species
AGUAACGCGUGAGGAACCUGCCUCAAAGAGGGGGACAACAGUUGGAAACGACUGCUAAUACCGCAUAAGCCCACAGCUCGGCAUCGAGCAGAGGGAAAAGGAGCAAUCCGCUUUGAGAUGGCCUCGCGUCCGAUUAGCUAGUUGGUGAGGUAACGGCCCACCAAGGCGACGAUCGGUAGCCGGACUGAGAGGUUGAACGGCCACAUUGGGACUGAGACACGGCCCAG